CCUGGCUCACGAUGAACGCUGGCGGCGCGCCUAACACAUGCAAGUCGAACGAUAGAUGAGGAGCUUGCUCUUCAAAUCGAGUGGCGAACGGGUGAGUAACGCGUGAGGAACCUGCCUCAAAGAGGGGGACAACAGUUGGAAACGACUGCUAAUACCGCAUAAGCCCACGGCUCGGCAUCGAGCAGAGGGAAAAGGAGCAAUCCGCUUUGAGAUGGCCUCGCGUCCGAUUAGCUAGUUGGUGAGGUAACGGCCCACCAAGGCGACGAUCGGUAGCCGGACUGAGAGGUUGAACGGCCACAUUGGGACUGAGACACGGCCCAGACUCCUACGGGAGGCAGCAGUGGGGAAUAUUGCACAAUGGGGGAAACCCUGAUGCAGCGACGCCGCGUGGAGGAAGAAGGUCUUCGGAUUGUAAACUCCUGUUGUUGAGGAAGAUAAUGACGGUACUCAACAAGGAAGUGACGGCUAACUACGUGCCAGCAGCCGCGGUAAAACGUAGGUCACAAGCGUUGUCCGGAAUUACUGGGUGUAAAGGGAGCGCAGGCGGGAGAACAAGUUGGAAGUGAAAUCCAUGGGCUCAACCCAUGAACUGCUUUCAAAACUGUUUUUCUUGAGUAGUGCAGAGGUAGGCGGAAUUCCCGGUGUAGCGGUGGAAUGCGUAGAUAUCGGGAGGAACACCAGUGGCGAAGGCGGCCUACUGGGCACCAACUGACGCUGAGGCUCGAAAGUGUGGGUAGCAAACAGGAUUAGAUACCCUGGUAGUCCACACCGUAAACGAUGAUUACUAGGUGUUGGAGGAUUGACCCCUUCAGUGCCGCAGUUAACACAAUAAGUAAUCCACCUGGGGAGUACGACCGCAAGGUUGAAACUCAAAGGAAUUGACGGGGGCCCGCACAAGCAGUGGAGUAUGUGGUUUAAUUCGACGCAACGCGAAGAACCUUACCAAGUCUUGACAUCCCUUGACGAUGCUGGAAACAGUAUUUCUCUUCGGAGCAAGGAGACAGGUGGUGCAUGGUUGUCGUCAGCUCGUGUCGUGAGAUGUUGGGUUAAGUCCCGCAACGAGCGCAACCCUUAUGGUCAGUUACUACGCAAGAGGACUCUGGCCAGACUGCCGUUGACAAAACGGAGGAAGGUGGGGAUGACGUCAAAUCAUCAUGCCCUUUAUGACUUGGGCUACACACGUACUACAAUGGCGUUAAACAAAGAGAAGCAAGACCGCGAGGUGGAGCAAAACUCAGAAACAACGUCCCAGUUCGGACUGCAGGCUGCAACUCGCCUGCACGAAGUCGGAAUUGCUAGUAAUCGUGGAUCAGCAUGCCACGGUGAAUACGUUCCCGGGCCUUGCACACACCGCCC
rnacentral:rRNA from 1 species